rnacentral:rRNA from 1 species
AUUGAACGCUGGCGGCAUGCCUUACACAUGCAAGUCGAACGGCAGCACGGGUGCUUGCACCUGGUGGCGAGUGGCGAACGGGUGAGUAAUACAUCGGAACGUACCUUAUCGUGGGGGAUAACACAGCGAAAGUUGCGCUAAUACCGCAUACGCCCUGAGGGGGAAAGCGGGGGACCGUAAGGCCUCGCGCGAUUAGAGCGGCCGAUGUCUGAUUAGCUUGUUGGUGAGGUAAAAGCUCACCAAGGCGAUGAUCAGUAGCUGGUCUGAGAGGACGAUCAGCCACACUGGGACUGAGACACGGCCCAGACUCCUACAGGAGGCAGCAGUGGGGAAUUUUGGACAAUGGGGGCAACCCUGAUCCAGCAAUGCCGCGUGAGUGAAGAAGGCCUUCGGGUUGUAAAGCUCUUUUGUCAGGGAAGAAACAGCAGCUCUAACACAGUCUGCGAAUGACGGUACCUGAAGAAUAAGCACCGGCUAACUACGUGCCAGCCGCCGCAGUAA